rnacentral:rRNA from 1 species
CAGCAGCCGCCGCGGUAAUACGAAGGGUGCAAGCGUUACUCGGAAUUACUGGGCGUAAAGCGUGCGUAGGUGGUGGUUUAAGUCCGUUGUGAAAGCCCUGGGCUCAACCUGGGAAUUGCAGUGGAUACUGGGUCACUAGAGUGUGGUAGAGGAUAGUGGAAUUUCCGGUGUAGCAGUGAAAUGCGUAGAGAUCGGAAGGAACAUCUGUGGCGAAGGCGACUAUCUGGGCCAACACUGACACUGAGGCACGAAAGCGUGGGGAGCAAACAGGAUUAGAUACCCCCGUAGUCCCUGUCUCUUAUAA